AUUAAUUUUUUUUUUUUUUUUUUAAGAACUUCUCUAAAAAAAAUACAUAUAUUAUGUUAUGAUAUUAACAUAAUUAUGAAAAAUAUAUUUGUCUGUUUUUUAUGUGUGCAUGUGCUUCCACACAUGUGUAUGUUAUUACAUUUAGUCUAUACAUAUAUGUGUUUUUAUUUUGGUAUUUAUACAUUAUUAUAUGCUUGAACGUUUACACGUUUUGCAUAUCUGAUCGCGUGUUUGCUUAUAUUAUUUUAUUUUUUUUUUUAUUGCUCAAUAAUAAUAUAAUGUUAAUAAAUAUACUAAAUUAAAUAAAAGAUGAGAAAAGAGAAAACAAGAAAUUUAAGAUAUAAGACGAGCCAAUAUAUCCACAAUAGUAUAAAUAAGCUUAAAUAUAGUCUGCAUAUGUAUAUGUAUUACAUAUUAUAAACUUAGCAUAUAUAAAGAAAAACCUAAAAAGUUAAAAUAGCAAUAAUUUACUUGAACUUAUUUUUUUUUUUUUUUUUAAAUAUAAAUUAUAUUCGCGUGCUCAUAAAAAAAAAAAAAAAAAAAAAAAAACAAAAACAAAAAAAAAACAAAAAAAAAAACAAAAAGUUAAAAAGUUAAAAAGUUAGGUAUGUUAAAAAGAUACUUUAAAAGUUUAUAUUAAAAAUUUCAGAAACAAUUUUCUCUUUAUAUUGUUAUAAAAAAUAUAAUUUAUUAAUCACAAAUUAAGUUUUUAAUUAAUCUAAAAAUAUAUAUGUAUAAAAUAUGUUUACAUAUAUAUGUAUAAUUUUAUGUGUUCUUUUUUUUACUUGUUUUUUUUUUUUUCUUUGUCCUAUUUGCAUUCUAUCUUUAAUGCUAUUUAGCAAUUUUUAAAAAUAUAUGAAUACACAAAAAAAAUGAAAAAAAUGAAAACAGCAAAAAUGGAAAAUAUUACAGAAAAAAAAAGAAGAUACCUUUAAAACAUCUAAAUCAUUAGAUAAAAUUUUAGAGAUUCCGUUAUUAACGCACAAGAAAUUGGCACUAAAAGACAUCUUGAGACAAAAUAAAGACUUAAGUGUAAAACAUGCGAAUAUUAAAAAAACACUCAGCGAAAAAGAAAAAAAUUUUAGUUUAAAAGAAAAGGAAUACAAUAAAAAUCGAGAAAAAGUAACAAAAGAAUAUCAAAAUACUAUGAAAGAAAAUCAUGAUAGACAAGUAUUUUUAGAAGAAAAAAUAAAAAAAAAAGAAAAAAAAAUAGAGCAAUAUGAUUUACAAAUCAAAGAAUUUAAACUCACCAUUGAGGAUAUGCAUAAACGUAUAACAAAGGCGAAUAGUGACGUAAUAGAAAGUAAUAAAAAAAAAAAAUAAUAAAAUAAAAAAAAAAAUGUGAACAUAUAUAUUAUUGCUAUUUUUAAAACAUCUAUGUGCAAAAAAAGAAAAAAAAACAAAAUUUUUUUUUAUUGUUUGUUUUUUUUUUUUUGUUUUGUAGAGGAAAAAUGCCUUAACUUUUUAAACAAAUUCCAAAAAAAUACGACUGGAUUUGUUCAGCUAGAUAUUUUUGACAGAAUGGAAACAAUAUUUAAUUCAAGAGAAUUUAUAAAAAAAAAAAAGAUAAAUUGAAAGAAAAAAUAAAUACUAUAAAAACAAAAAUUAAAGAUACUGA
ensembl:lncRNA